UACGGAGGGUGUAAGCGUUAAUCGGAAUCACUGGGCGUAAAGCGCACGUAGGCGGCUUGGUAAGUCAGGGGUGAAAUCCCACAGCCCAACUGUGGAACUGCCUUUGAUACUGCCAGGCUUGAGUACCGGAGAGGGUGGCGGAAUUCCAGGUGUAGGAGUGAAAUCCGUAGAUAUCUGGAGGAACACCGGUGGCGAAGGCGGCCACCUGGACGGUAACUGACGCUGAGGUGCGAAAGCGUGGGUAGCAAACAGG
rnacentral:rRNA from 1 species